AUUGAACGCUGGCGGCAGGCCUAACACAUGCAAGUCGAACGAGUGGCGGACGGGUGAGUAAUGUCUGGGAAACUGCCCGAGGGAGGGGGAUAACUACUGGAAACAGUAGCUAAUACCGCAUACCAUCGGAUGUGCCCAGAGGGGAUGAGCUAGUAGGUGGGGUAACGGCUCACCUAGGCGACGAUCCCGAGCUGGUAGGAGAGGAUGACCAGCCACACUGGAACUUAUACACGGUCCAGACUCCUACGGGAGGCAGCAGUGGGGAAUAUUGCACAAUGGGCGCAAGCCUGAUGCAGCCAUGCCGCGUGUAUGAAGAAGGCCUUCGGGUUGUAAAGUACUUUCAGCGGGGAGGCGUUACUCGCAGAAGAAGCACCGGCUAACUCCGUGCCAGCAGCCGCGGUAAUAC
rnacentral:rRNA from 1 species